rnacentral:rRNA from 1 species
ACUCCUACGGGAGGCAGCAGUGGGGAAUAUUGCACAAUGGGCGCAAGCCUGAUGUGCAGCCAUGCCGCGUGAUAAGUCGAAGAAUGGGCCUUUCGGGUUUGAUGAAAUGUACUUUUCAGCAGUGAGGAAGGUGGGUAUGUUAAUAGCAUAUUCAUUUGACGUUAGCUGCAGAAGAAGCACCGGCUAACUCCGUGCCAGCAGCCGCGGUAAUACGGAGGGUGCGAGCGUUAAUCGGAAUUACUGGGCGUAAAGCGCAUGCAGGUGGUUUGUUAAGUCAGAUGUGAAAGCCCGGGGCUCAACCUCGGAAUUGCAUUUGAAACUGGCAAACUAGAGUACUGUAGAGGGGGGUGAGAAUUUCAGGUGUAGCGGUGAAAUGCGUAGAGAUCUGAAGGAAUACCGGUGGCGAAGGCGGCCCCCUGGACAGAUACUGACACUCAGAUGCGAAAGCGUGGGGAGCAAACAGGAUUAGAUACCCUGGUAGGAUAGCGU